rnacentral:rRNA from 1 species
CUACGUGCCAGCAGCCGCGGUAAUACAGAGGGUGCAAGCGUUAAUCGGAAUUACUGGGCGUAAAGCGAGCGCAGACGGUUACUUAAGCAGGAUGUGAAAUCCCCGGGCUCAACCUGGGAACUGCAUCUGAUACUGGGUGACUAGAGUAGGUGAGAGGGAAGUAGAAUUCCAGGUGUAGCGGUGAAAUGCGUAGAGAUCUGGAGGAAUACCGAUGGCGAAGGCAGCUUCCUGGCAUCAUACUGACACUGAGGUUCGAAAGCGUGGGUAGCAAACAGGAUUAGAUACCCUGGUAGUCCACGCCGUAAACGAUGUCUACCAGUCGUUGGGUCUCUUGAAGACUUAGUGACGCAGUUAACGCGAUAAGUAGACCGCCUGGGGAGUACGGCCGCAAGGUUAAAACUCAAAUGAAUUGACGGGGGCCCGCACAAGCGGUGGAGCAUGUGGUUUAAUUCGAUGCAACGCGAAGAACCUUACCUGGUCUUGACAUACACAGAAUCUUGCAGAGAUGCGAGAGUGCA